rnacentral:rRNA from 1 species
AGAGUUUGAUCCUGCUCAGAUUGAACGCUGCGGCAUGCUUACACAUGCAAGUCGAACGGUACAGGUGUAGCAUACAUGCUGACGAGUGCGGACGGGUGAGAAUGCUUGGAAUCUGCCUGUUAGUGGGGGACAACCCGGGGAAACUCGGGCUAAUACCGCAUACGCUUCUACGGAGGAAAGCGGGGGACCGUAAGGCCUCGCGCUAACAGAUGAGCCCAAGUCGGAUUAGCUAGUUGGUGGGGUAAAGGCCUACCAAGGCUACGAUCCGUAGCUGGUCUGAGAGGACGAUCAGCCACACUGGGACUGAGACACGGCCCAGACUCCUACGGGAGGCAGCAGUGGGGAAUAUUGGACAAUGGGGGCAACCCUGAUCCAGCAAUGCCGCGUGUGUGAAGAAGGCCUGCGGGUUGUAAAGCACUUUUGGCAGGGAUGAAAAGCACUGGAUUAAUAACCCAGUGUGUUGACCUAACCUGCAGAAGAAGCACCGGCUAACUCUGUGCCAGCAGCCGCGGUAAUACAGGGGGUGCGAGCGUUAAUCGGAAUUACUGGGCGUAAAGGGCGCGUAGGCGGUCGAGUAAGUCGGAUGUGAAAUCCCCGGGCUUAACCUGGGAAUUGCAUUCGAUACUGCUUGGCUAGAGUGUGGAAGAGGGAAGCGGAAUU